ACGCUGGCGGCGUGGAUUAGGCAUGCAAGUCGAACGAUCGCCCGGAUGUAGCAAUAUGUCCGGGUGGGAGUGGCGUACGGGUGAGUAACGCGCGGGUAAUCUACCUCGAAGUUGGGUACAGUCCGGCGAAAGCUGGGUUAAUACCGGAUGUGGUCGCUCCGCGAGUGCGGGGCUGUCUAAAGGUGGGGAUCGCAAGACCUGCCGCUUCGAGAUGAGCCCACGUCCUAUCAGCUUGUUGGUAGGGUAACGGCCUACCAAGGCUUACGGGUAGCUGGUCUGAGAGGAUGGUCAGCCACACUGGGACUGAGACACUGCCCAGACUCCUACGGGAGGCUGCAGUCGAGAAUCUUUCGCAAUGGGGGCAACCCUGACGAAGCGACGCCGCGUGCAGGAUGAAGGUCUUCGGAUUGUAAACUGCUGUCUUUGGGGAGCAACUGACGGGGCGUUAAUACCGCCACGAACUGAUAGUACCCGAGGAGGAAGCCACGGCUAACUCUGUGCCAGCAGCCGCGGUAAUACAGAGGUGGCGAGCGUUGUUCGGAUUUACUGGGCGUAAAGGGUGCGUAGGCGGAGUUGUGUGUCGGGUGUGAAAGCCCACGGAUCAUCUGUGGAAUGCACUCGAAACUGCGACUCUAGAGUGCAGGAGAGGAGGGCGGAAUUCUCGGUGUAGCGGUGAAAUGCGUUGAUAUCGAGAGGAACGCCGGUGGCGAAGGCGGCCCUCUGGACUGACUCUGACGCUGAGGCACGAAAGCUGGGGGAGCAAACAGGAUUAGAUACCCUGGUAGUCCCAGCCCUAAACGGUGUGCACUUGGUGUGGGAGGAAUUAUCCCCUUCCGUGCCGUAGCUAACGCGAUAAGUGCACCGCCUGGGGAGUACGGCCGCAAGGCUAAAACUCAAAGGAAUUGACGGGGGCCCGCACAAGCGGUGGAGCAUGUGGCUCAAUUCGAUGCAACGCGAAGAACCUUACCUGGGCUUGACAUGUAACUGCACGCCCCGGGAAACCGGGGAAGCCUUCGAGGGUGUUACACAGGUGCUGCAUGGCUGUCGUCAGCUCGUGCCGUGAGGCGUUAGGUUAAGUCCUGCAACGAGCGCAACCCCUGUGACUAGUUACUAAUCCGCAAGGAAGCACUCUAGUCAGACUGCCUGUGAUAAGCAGGAGGAAGGUGGGGAUGACGUCAAGUCAGUAUGGUCCUUAUGUCCAGGGCUGCACACGUGCUACAAUGACCGGUACAGAAAGAUGCAAAGCCGCGAGGUGGAGCAAAUCUCCAAAACCGGUCACAGUUCAGAUAGGAGUCUGCAACUCGACUCCUUGAAGCCGGAAUCGCUAGUAAUGGCGCAUCAGCUACGGCGCCGUGAAUACGUUCCCGGGCCUUGUACACACCGCCCGUCACAUCAUGAAAGCCGAUUGCACCCAAAGUCGCUGUCGUGACCCGCAAGGGAACAAGGUGCCUAAGG
rnacentral:rRNA from 1 species